rnacentral:rRNA from 1 species
AACGAACGCUGACGGCGGGCUUUAUACAUGCAAGUCGAACGAGAAAGCCUUCGGGUGAGUAUAGUGGCGCACGGGUGAGUAACGCGUGGGUAAUCUACCUCGUGGAUCGGGAUAACACUUCGAAAGGGGUGCUAAUACCGAGUAAGCUUUAAGAUUCGUAAAGUUUCUUAGAGGAAAGGUGGUGCAAGCUACCGCCAUGAGAUGAGCCUGCGUUCCAUUAGCUUGUUGGUAAGGUAACGGCUUACCAAGGCGACGAUGGAUAGCUGGUCUGAGAGGAUGACCAGCCACACUGGAACUGAAACACGGUCCAG